AUCAAUGUGUAGCAUUGCCACAUAUGUUUUUUUUUUUUUUUGAACAGAAUAGGAAUGUCUUUUAAUGAUUAGAAAAUAUAUGUAUAUUUCAGUAAUGACUUUCCAUGUGUUAACCCAAGUUUAAAAGGUCUAGUAUGUAUGUUAUUUUUUUUGAGUUUAUGUUUGAAUGGUGGUGGACUUUUUACUACAUUUGAACAUUUGGACCACAAACAUGGCUACCAGGGGACUUCCUGUCACACAGGUGUACCACUGAUGACAAACAUUUCAAAAGGGAAGCGAGUCUCUGGGAAAAGGUUGGAACAGGCCUGACUAGAGUGAGGAUUCCGGAGUCAGCCACUCACAACGUCGACUGCUGCAGAAAACCUUUUAGUAUGGAUUACCGAGACAUUGGAGAAGAGUAUCAUUCAAUGGAAGAAGGUGGAAUUUCAGCUGCUAUUUGGUGAGACCUUCCCAUUCUUCGUCAACAGACAUCCGAGACCCUAACAGGCGUCUACAGGUGCAACAAAAAUGGCGAGCGAUGUCGGAGGUAUAAAGUUUGUCCCAGGUUAAUCAUUUCACUAAAACUAUCUGGCCGGAGAAGAUCUUAUCAGCUUCUAUGUCAUUCUGUAACCUAACCUGCACCCCUCACCCAACCACCUUCCCAAAGCUCCUCCUCGCCAACCACCAUGUCACACUCUGACUCCGCCCAUCACUGCUUACAAACAUUUCAGCAGAAAGACUGACUCAAAAAAGAGGAAUCAGCUAAUAACAUGAAAAUGUGUAUUUAUGAUCCCCCUUGUGUAAUAAAAUGUAUGGAAAUCCAA